AAUGAACGUUGGCGGCGUGGAUUAGGCAUGCAAGUCGUACGGGUCGGUGUAGCAAUACAACGGCAAGUGGCGAAAGGGAGAGUAACACGUAGAUACCUACCCUCUGGUCGGGGAUACCGCGGCAUAACCGCAAGUAAUACCCGAUAAAAUCUCCGGAUCAAAGGUGUGAUUCCGCCGGAGGAGGGGUCUGCGUUCUAUCAGCUUGUUGGUGAGGUAAUGGCUCACCAAGGCUAAGACGGAUACGGGGUGUGAGAGCAUGCCCCCGCUCACUGGGACUGAGACACUGCCCAGACACCUACGGGUGGCUGCAGUCGAGAAUCCUCGGCAAUGGGCGCAAGCCUGACCGAGCGACGCCGCGUGCGGGAUGAAGGCCUUCGGGUUGUAAACCGCUGUCGAGGGGAAUGAAGUGUAGGUGGGUACUCCCAUCUAUUUGACAGAUCCCUGGAGGAAGCAUGGGCUAAGUUCGUGCCAGCCGCCGCAGUAA
rnacentral:rRNA from 1 species